rnacentral:lncRNA from 1 species
UGGGCCUAAUAUUUUUAAAAAAUAAGAAAGGCCCAUCAUCCCAAACAAAAGGGCCGAAACAAAAAAAGAAAAAGAGAGAAAAUAACCCAAUUCAGUCGUCUUCCUCCUUGCUUCUUUCUUCCACAAUUUCCAUCUCUGCAACUGCAAGACUGUCGCCUGACAACUAUUUAAAAUUUCGAUAGAGCAGCACGUACGGUCGUUUAGGUGAAUCUAGCUAGGGCAGCCUUCCUAGCUCGCCACCACUUAGAUCCGCCACUGAUGCUACACGAUUUGAUUGCACUGAACUGUAAUUCAAUAGUUUACUCGAUUUGUGGUAGAAAUAUGAUAAAAAGGGAAGUCGUGAUUUUAAAGCAAUUACUGGAGUUGUAUAAUUAGGAAUUGUCUAGCGCAGGUGGAGACAGCCGUGGAGAGGUUGUUCAGCCAAGAACAUUGAGGUACACGAGAAUAAAAAUGAGGAAUACUAGGAGCAACAAUAAGAGAAGCAUCAGCAUCCGAAUGAGGAAGUGAACAUGAUAUGGGAUACAAGCAGCACAUCAGAUCAUAGCGCACAUGUUUUUUUUC